AGGGUUAAAGGAGCCCUCGAUGGCCUUGGAGGUUCCGUAGUCUUUGAUCUCCUUGCGGCGCAUGACCAUAGGGACGGCGGUGGUCACAGAGACAGUGGUGGCGAUGGGGAGGGCGGUGUAGGGAACGCCGCAAAUGACAUCAUAGUGGGUGGUGGAAGGGAUGGUGGAGACAAGGGUUUGGGAGAUCUCACGGAGGAGAGUGGGGUAGGAGACGAUGAGGCGGAGGUCAAUGUAUAUUGGGGAGGUGAUGCCAGACUUGAGCUUGAAGGUGCCGAACUUGACGGCAGAAAUUUCAUGGAGCUUCAGGAUGAGAGACUCCAUUGAUGAUGAUGCUGCCGAGCUUGUCAUCCCUUCACCCUCUUCAAUCG
rnacentral:lncRNA from 1 species